rnacentral:rRNA from 1 species
CCUACGGGAGGCAGCAGUAAGGAAUAUUGGUCAAUGGAGGCAACUCUGAACCAGCCAUGCCGCGUGCAGGAAGAAGGCCCUAUGGGUCGUAAACUGCUUUUGUACCAGAGAAAACCCGAGUACGUGUACUCGGUUGAUAGUAUGGUAAGAAUAAGCAUCGGCUAACUUCGUGCCAGCAGCCGCGGUAAGACGAAGGAUGCAAGCGUUAUCCGGAUUCAUUGGGUUUAAAGGGUGCGUAGGCGGACUGAUAAGUCAGUGGUGAAAUCUCUCGGCUUAACCGAGAAACUGCCAUUGAUACUGUUAGUCUAGAGUAUAGAUGACGUUGGCGGAAUAUGACAUGUAGCGGUGAAAUACUUAGAUAUGUCAUAGAACACCGAUUGCGAAGGCAGCUAACGAAACUAUAACUGACGCUGAGGCACGAAAGUGCGGGGAUCAAACAGGAUUAGAUACCCUGGUAGUCCGCACCGUAAACGAUGAUUACUCGUUGUUGGCAAUAUGACCGUCAGCGACCAAGCGAAAGCGAUAAGUAAUCCACCUGGGGAGUACGCCGGCACGGUGAACUCAAAGGAAUUGACGG